CGUUGGGUAACGGAUUUUUAUUUCGGUUGUUGGUAUAAUUGCGUUGGGGGGACGGAGAAGGCUAUGAUAGCUUGGCGAUGGUUGUCGAUGUGAAAGUGAGUAGGCUAGCGACUUAGGUAAAUCCGGGUUGCUGUUAGGCUGAGACACGAGACGAGCACCCAAGGGUGUGAAGUUGCUGAUGCCAUACUUCCAGGAAAAGCCUCUAAGCUUCAGAUUAUACCGAAUCGUACCCCAAACCGACACAGGUGGUCAGGUAGAGAAUACUAAGGCGCUUGAGAGAACUCGGGUCAAGGAACUAGUCAAAAUCGAAACGUAACUUAGUGAGAAUGUACGCUCCUAUCUGUGAU
rnacentral:rRNA from 1 species